GCCUACGGGGGGCAGCAGUAGGGAAUCUUCCACAAUGGGCGAAAGCCUGAUGGAGCAGCGCCGCGUGGGUGAAGAAGGUCUUCGGAUCGUAAAACCCUGUUGUUAGAGAAGAAAGUGCGUGAGAGUGACUGUUCACAUUUCGACGGUAUCUAACCAGAAAGCCACGGCUAACUACGUGCCAGCAGCCGCGGUAAUACGUAGGUGGCAAGCGUUAUCCGGAUUUAUUGGGCGUAAAGGGAACGCAGGCGGUCUUUUAAGUCUGAUGUGAAAGCCUUCGGCUUAACCGGAGUAGUGCAUUGGAAACU
rnacentral:rRNA from 1 species